rnacentral:rRNA from 1 species
UACGAAGGGGGCUAGCGUUGCUCGGAAUCACUGGGCGUAAAGCGCACGUAGGCGGCUUUCUAAGUCAGGGGUGAAAUCCUGGAGCUCAACUCCAGAACUGCCUUUGAUACUGGGGAGCUCGAGUCCGGAAGAGGUGAGUGGAACUCCGAGUGUAGAGGUGAAAUUCGUAGAUAUUCGGAAGAACACCAGUGGCGAAGGCGGCUCACUGGUCCGGUACUGACGCUGAGGUGCGAAAGCGUGGGGAGCAAACAGG